UUACGGCUAUAUCACGUUCAAACACCGGUACUCGUACGAUGACCAAAGUUAAGCAACGACGAACCUGGUCAGCACCUAGAUGGGUGACCGCUUGGGAAUACCAGGGGC